rnacentral:rRNA from 1 species
GAACAAAGUAGGUAAGGGAAGUCGUCAAAAUAGAUCCGUAACUUCGGGAUAAGGAUUGGCUCUAAGGGUUGGGUAGAUAUGGACUUUUGGUAUGGUUGAUUUCUAGGCGAUUUCAAAUGAUUUCGGUUGUUUGAUUUUGCUCGGAGAUCUUCGUUAACCAAGAGAGCCCAGUUUACGUUUAACAACCAACUUAGAACUGGUACGGACAAGGGGAAUCUGACUGUCUAAUUAAAACAUAGCAUUGCGAUGGCCAGAAAGUGGUGUUGACGCAAUGUGAUUUCUG